AACGCUAGCUACAGGCUUAACACAUGCAAGUCGAGGGGAAACGACAUCGAAAGCUUGCUUUUGAUGGGUGUCGACCGGCGCACGGGUGAGUAACGCGUAUCCAACCUGCCCACCACUUGGGGAUAACCUUGCGAAAGUAAGACUAAUACCCAAUGACGUCUCUAGAAGACAUCUGAAAGAGAUUAAAGAUUUAUCGGUGAUGGAUGGGGAUGCGUCUGAUUAGCUUGUUGGCGGGGUAACGGCCCACCAAGGCGACGAUCAGUAGGGGUUCUGAGAGGAAGGUCCCCCACAUUGGAACUGAGACACGGUCCAAACUCCUACGGGAGGCAGCAGUGAGGAAUAUUGGUCAAUGGGCGAGAGCCUGAACCAGCCAAGUAGCGUGCAGGAAGACGGCCCUAUGGGUUGUAAACUGCUUUUAUAAGGGAAUAAAGUUAGUCUCGUGAGACUUUUUGCAUGUACCUUAUGAAUAAGGACCGGCUAAUUCCGUGCCAGCAGCCGCGGUAAUACGGAAGGUCCGGGCGUUAUCCGGAUUUAUUGGGUUUAAAGGGAGCGUAGGCCGGAGAUUAAGCGUGUUGUGAAAUGUAGACGCUCAACGUCUGCACUGCAGCGCGAACUGGUUUCCUUGAGUACGCACAAAGUGGGCGGAAUUCGUGGUGUAGCGGUGAAAUGCUUAGAUAUCACGAAGAACUCCGAUUG
rnacentral:rRNA from 1 species